AUACGGAGGGGGUUAGCGUUGUUCGGAAUUACUGGGCGUAAAGCGCACGUAGGCGGAUUGGAAAGUUGGGGGUGAAAUCCCAGGGCUCAACCCUGGAACUGCCUCCAAAACUAACAGUCUAGAGUUCGAGAGAGGUGAGUGGAAUUCCAAGUGUAGGGGUGAAAUUCGUAGAUAUUUGGAGGAACACCAGUGGCGAAGGCGGCUCACUGGCUCGAUACUGACGCUGAGGUGCGAAAGCGUGGGGAGCAAACAGGAUUAGAAACCCCAGUAGUCC
rnacentral:rRNA from 1 species